AUUGAACGCUGGCGGCGUGCUUAACACAUGCAAGUCGAGCGGUAACAGGUGUAGCAAUACAUGCUGACGAGCGGCGAACGGGUGAGUAAUGCUUCGGAAUCUUCCCGGUAGUGGGGAAUAACUUGGGGAAACUCAAGCUAAUACCGCAUACGACCUACGGGUGAAAGCGGGGGAUCGCAAGACCUCGCGUUAUCGGAUGAGCCGAAGUCGGAUUAGCUAGUUGGUGGGGUAAAGGCCUACCAAGGCGACGAUCCGUAGCUGGUCUGAGAGGACGACCAGCCACACUGGGACUGAGACACGGCCCAGACUCCUACGGGAGGCAGCAGUGGGGAAUAUUGGACAAUGGGGGCAACCCUGAUCCAGCGACGCCGCGUGUGUGAAGAAGGCUUGCGGGUUGUAAAGCACUUUUAGUGGGGAUGAAAAGCCGAAAGCGAAUACCUUUCGGUCUUGACCUAACCCAAAGAAAAAGCACCGGCUAACUCUGUGCCAGCAGCCGCGGUAAUACAGAGGGUGCAAGCGUUAAUCGGAAUUACUGGGCGUAAAGCGUGCGUAGUCGGUUAUUCAAGUCGGGUGUGAAAGCCCCGGGCUCAACCUGGGAAUUGCAUUCGAUACUGGAUAGC
rnacentral:rRNA from 1 species